UCCCUGCUGGCUCAGAUGGGAGAGUAUCUGCCUGCAAUGUGGGAGACCUGGGUUCAAUCCCUGGGCCAGGAA
rnacentral:tRNA from 1 species